GUGAAUCAUCAAAUUUUUGAACGCAAAUUGCACUUUCUUCGGAGAGUAUGCCUGUUUGAGGGUCAGUAUUAAUAAAAAUCGGUGUGUUGUUUUUUUGUGACGUUCUGGAGCUUGGGUCAUCUUAAUAUUCUUUAGGUUUUAAGAGGUUUAAAAUUGAUUUUUUUUGCGUAUUUUUGAUGUACAUAAAUUUUUUUUUUUAUUUGUUUGUCUUUAUGCCAAAAUCUUAUUAGAUGCGAUUAU
rnacentral:misc_RNA from 1 species